UGUCCAAUGCGGGGAUCGAACCCGGGUCGUAGUGGUCGUAAACCAAACGGUUUAACCAGCCUUCCACGUAAUUAUGAAGAC